rnacentral:rRNA from 1 species
AUGAACGCUAGCUACAGGCUUAACACAUGCAAGUCGAGGGGCAGCAUGGUCUUAGCUUGCUAAGGCCGAUGGCGACCGGCGCACGGGUGAGUAACACGUAUCCAACCUGCCGUCUACUCUUGGACAGCCUUCUGAAAGGAAGAUUAAUACAAGAUGGCAUCAUGAGUCCGCAUGUUCACAUGAUUAAAGGUAUUCCGGUAGACGAUGGGGAUGCGUUCCAUUAGAUAGUAGGCGGGGUAAUGGCCCACCUAGUCUUCGAUGGAUAGGGGUUCUGAGAGGAAGGUCCCCCACAUUGGAACUGAGACACGGUCCAAACUCCUACGGGAGGCAGCAGUGAGGAAUAUUGGUCAAUGGGCGAGAGCCUGAACCAGCCAAGUAGCGUGAAGGAUGACUGCCCUAUGGGUUGUAAACUUCUUUUAUAAAGGAAUAAAGUCGGGUAUGCAUACCCGUUUGCAUGUACUUUAUGAAUAAGGAUCGGCUAACUCCGUGCCAGCAGCCGCGGUAAUACGGAGGAUCCGAGCGUUAUCCGGAUUUAUUGGGUUUAAAGGGAGCGUAGAUGGAUGUUUAAGUCAGUUGUGAAAGUUUGCGGCUCAACCGUAAAAUUGCAGUUGAUACUGGAUAUCUUGAGUGCAGUUGAGGCAGGCGGAAUUCGUGGUGUAGCGGUGAAAUGCUUAGAUAUCACGAAGAACUCCGAUUGCGAAGGCAGCCUGCUAAGCUGCAACUGACAUUGAGGCUCGAAAGUGUGGGUAUCAAACAGGAUUAGAUACCCUGGUAGUCCACACGGUAAACGAUGAAUACUCGCUGUUUGCGAUAUACUGCAAGCGGCCAAGCGAAAGCGUUAAGUAUUCCACCUGGGGAGUACGCCGGCAACGGUGAAACUCAAAGGAAUUGACGGGGGCCCGCACAAGCGGAGGAACAUGUGGUUUAAUUCGAUGAUACGCGAGGAACCUUACCCGGGCUUAAAUUGCAGAUGAAUUACGGUGAAAGCCGUAAGCCGCAAGGCAUCUGUGAAGGUGCUGCAUGGUUGUCGUCAGCUCGUGCCGUGAGGUGUCGGCUUAAGUGCCAUAACGAGCGCAACCCUUGUUGUCAGUUACUAACAGGUUCCGCUGAGGACUCUGACAAGACUGCCAUCGUAAGAUGUGAGGAAGGUGGGGAUGACGUCAAAUCAGCACGGCCCUUACGUCCGGGGCUACACACGUGUUACAAUGGGGGGUACAGAGGGCCGCUACCACGCGAGUGGAUGCCAAUCCCAAAAACCUCUCUCAGUUCGGACUGGAGUCUGCAACCCGACUCCACGAAGCUGGAUUCGCUAGUAAUCGCGCAUCAGCCACGGCGCGGUGAAUACGUUCCCGGGCCUUGUACACACCGCCCGUCACACCAUGAGAGUUGGGGAUACCCGAAGCCUGUGAGCCAACAGUUAAAUGGGGCAGCAGUCGAAGGUAGAAUCAAUGAUUGGGGUG